CGUGUUCCUCUUCCUCUUCCUCUCACGCAGACUCCCUCUUGUCCCCUUCUCACACUAACACACUCCCAAAUAAGAUGAAUCGACCGCUUUUUUUUUGUCUCGUCUUUGAAGAAAACGGCGGUGUAAAGGUGCUGGACGGGAAACCCAAUAUCCACCUCGACGGGGACAGAACCGCUCGGCAAGACUUCUGGGUUUAAGACGCCAUCAAGUGGUCGAACCCGUUCCAGAUGAGCUGACCUCUUUAUGUUGCUAUGAAAACCACCCCCUUUAACAUGCUGACGAAGACAAUAUGUUGGUAUACAGCUCCCCCUUUUGGACACAAUGACAAUGAGGACUCCCACACGUUUAAAAAGCGCCUCACACAGAGGUCAGUAGUUUGUCCCAGAAUUACUUAUUGCAAUUUGAGUUAAAGAGCAUUUUUAUUUUUACAGUAUGCAUAUGUUGUAGCUAGAAAUUACACCUGAAAGUGCUGGAGUACACUUACAAAUUGUAAUACAAAUAUUAAUUGAUCCUGCUAUUUUAUCAUAUUUUACUGUAUUUUUGCCCAAAUGGUUACGUGUGCAAAAUGAUGCAUCUACAUUUUGUCAAUAUUAUACAUGUAGCUAUACAUAAGGGUUUUCAGCUGUACCUGUCAACAUUUGCAUGGAAAAUAAGGGUACAUUUCCCAGAAAAUAAGGGAAAAUAUCCUCUUGUCGAUCAUAAAAAGCCUCCAGUACGUGUCAACAAUCGCAUUUGAAGAAACAAGGUACAUUUUCCGGCAAAUACAUGUAAUGGAAAUUCCCCAGUCCCCACACCAGGCAAGAAAAAAAAUUCCGGCGGGGGUGGGAAUACCUAUUGUCCUCACAGAUUGCUGUGGCUCUGAAGUUAAAAUACAGGAAAACCUUUAAACAGGAGGGCGACGAGAAAGAAGGGCAAACUGGGGUAGUUUUCCGUGAAAAGGGGUAUAGGUGGAGGCUCCUGUGCCCUUGUUGUUUUUGUUUUUGUUUAUUCAUUUAAUUUAGGAAGUAGGUACUAAAAACAUUACAUUUUAACUUAAACACAACAAAAAUAAGCAUAUUAAAUAUGUUUUAUUAGGGCUCUCAAAAAUAUCGAGUUACUUAUGUGAUUAAUCACAAAAAAUAUCGCUUUCAUCAUGUACUGCAUUAGGGCUGUUAAACCAUAAAAUACUUAAUUGGGAUUCAUUGCAGUUGUUCAGUUAACUCAAAAUUAGUUAUGACUAUUCGCAUGACAUACAUUUUUGCCAACAUCAAUAAGUGUACCAGAA